AUGGACUCCAUUCUUCAGUCACGGCCACAGGUGCUUUCCAGCUCUCAAGAGCGCCUUCUCCUUUCCCUAUGCCCUGGACCUCUUCCUUUGUUGUUCACGGACUGCAGCGUGCCAGGCUUUCCCCAUGUACCUCUUCCUACGUUAACAUUAAAAAAGAAAACACAGAACACAAGUCCACAGACUACUAACAAGAGCUACCAGAGAUGUUUACUUCAAAAACACUUGGAAACUUAGAAUCAGCAUUGCUUGUCCUGCUUCAGUCAGAAUGCCCAGGAAAAGGCUGAUGGUUUGUAUUUCUUCCUGGCUUACUCCUGCCCAUCCGUGUCAGCAACAUGCUAUUUCUGCUGGGUGAAAAACUGUCAACCGUCCCCAGGGGCUCAGCAUCCCCAGGGCCAGUGAGACCCCAGUAGCCUUCCUUCUGGGUGGAACAGAUCUGAAAGGGCUCCUAUCUAUCCUUUAACCUGAGUGACGAAUGCCUUUAAUUGCUGAUCAGAAAAUGGGCUUUUCCUGAAGGCUCCUGAAAUGCAGGAGACAGAGAUGCAGGUUCGAUUGCUGGGUCAGGAAGAUCCACUGGAGGAGGAAACGGUAACCCACUUCAGUAUUCUUGCCUGGGAAAUUCCAUGGACAGAGGAGGCUGGCAGGCUUCAACUCAAAGAGAGUCAGGCACGACUGAGCGACUAAGCAUGGGAAAUGCUGACAUGCAACUAA
rnacentral:lncRNA from 1 species